UAGUGGCGGACGGGUGAGUAACGCGUGGGUAACCUGCCUUAUACAGGGGGAUAACAGUCAGAAAUGACUGCUAAUACCGCAUAAGCGCACAGGACCGCAUGGUCCGGUGUGAAAAACUCCGGUGGUAUAAGAUGGACCCGCGUUGGAUUAGCUUGUUGGUGGGGUAACGGCCCACCAAGGCGACGAUCCAUAGCCGGCCUGAGAGGGUGAACGGCCACAUUGGGACUGAGACACGGCCCAGACUCCUACGGGAGGCAGCAGUGGGGAAUAUUGCACAAUGGGGGAAACCCUGAUGCAGCGACGCCGCGUGAAGGAAGAAGUAUCUCGGUAUGUAAACUUCUAUCAGCAGGGAAGAAAAUGACGGUACCUGACUAAGAAGCCCCGGCUAACUACGUGCCAGCAGCCGCGGUAAUACGUAGGGGGCAAGCGUUAUCCGGAUUUACUGGGUGUAAAGGGAGCGUAGACGGAUGGACAAGUCUGAUGUGAAAGGCUGGGGCUCAACCCCGGGACUGCAUUGGAAACUGCCCGUCUUGAGUGCCGGAGAGGUAAGCGGAAUUCCUAGUGUAGCGGUGAAAUGCGUAGAUAUUAGGAGGAACACCAGUGGCGAAG
rnacentral:rRNA from 1 species